rnacentral:misc_RNA from 1 species
UUCCGUAGGUGAACCUGCGGAAGAAUCAUUAAAAAAUUGGACUCCAUUGGUGAGUUCAUUAAUAAUCCCUACCCUUUGUGAAUUUGUUUGUUUGAAUAAUUUUUUUUUCCAAAAAAAAUUAUUGAAUGUCUUUCCCUUGUUUUGGUGGAGCUUGUAAAGUGAAACCAGGCAGGGGAAUGGCAAACAAUAAUUAUUUUUGAAAAAGACCUUUUUUUAAAAUUAAACUUUUUGUAUUCAUUUGUCUAAAAUUAAUUUUUAUAAUAUAAAAACAACUUUUGACAAUGGAUCUCUUGGUUCUCGCAACGAUGAAGAACGCAGCAAAAUGCGAUAAGUAGUGUGAAUUGCAGAAUACGUGAAUCAUCGAAUCUUCGAACGCAUAUUGCACUUUUUUAGUUUACUAAAAAAGUAUGUCUGUCUGAGUAUCAGUAAAAUAUUCUCAUAAAAAACAUUGUUUUUUUUAUGGUUAUGAGUGUUUUACAACGAUAACAAGUUGUUUCACUUUAAAUUCUUUGUUAUCAAAAAAAUCAUUAAAAGCUAAUUUUAAAGAUUCUUUAAAAUUGGAUAAAAUUUUCCCGUAAAAAGGAAUAACCUAAACAAUUUAAAAAAAUUAAAAUUGGUUUGAUUUUUUUGAAACCCAAAGGAAAAAAAAACGAAAUUAACUUGAUCUCAAAUCAGAUAAGAGUACCCGCUGAACUUAAGCAUAUCAAUAAGCGGAGGAAAAGAAACUAACUAGGAUUCCCUCAGUAACGGCGAGUGAAGCGGGAAGAGCUCAAAUUUGAAAUCUUCAAGGUUUUACCUUGACGAAUUGUAGUUUAAAGAAGUGUUUUCUGUUGGAGUUUUGGUAAAAGUUCUUUGGAAAAGGACAUCAUAGAGGGUGAGAAUCCCGUAUUUGACCAUUAUCUCCAGCUUUGUGAUACACUUUCAAAGAGUCGGAUUGUUUGGGAAUGCAGUCCAAAAUGGGUGGUAAAUUUCAUCUAAAGCUAAAUACUGGCGAGAGACCGAUAGCGAACAAGUACCGUGAGGGAAAGAUGAAAAGAACUUUGAAAAGAGAGUUAAACAGUACGUGAAAUUGUCAAAAGGGAAGCGUUUGACACCAGUGUUGUUUUCUCGAAAAUCAAUUAAAAAAGGCCGGAUUUUGUGUUGUAUUGACUUUAUCAGCUUUCUGCACUCUUUUCUUGUCUUUUUUAAUGCACUUUUCGUUUAACAAGUCAACAUCAAUUUCUUUUGUUGUAAAAGGGUCAUUGGAAGGUGGCUUUCUUUUCGGAGAAAGUGUUUAUAGCCUUUGGCCUCUGCAAUCGGAGAGAUUAAGGUCUGCAGCGUAGAUCCUUCGGGGUUAGAUACAUUUGUGCUAAGUUAUAGCCUUUCAUAGACAACUUGUUGACUAUGAUCAGUCAUGUAGCUUACUCG